UCUCGUUAUAACGUAACGGGAUAUGACAAAAUGAUUGAUAUAACGAAGUAAAUGAAAUUUCUCUUGAAGACCCAUAGAGAUCCAUGUAUUUAAAAGUUCAUUUUAACGAAGUGAAAUUGUCCUGCCAAUGAAUAUAACGAACUAGAUUCAUUUGUAAAGCAA
rnacentral:lncRNA from 1 species